UGACUCUGGUUUCUCUUCAUUACGCACAAGCCUUUCGCCUUUUACUAAAGACUUCCGUGGAGAGGAACACUUACGA
ensembl:snRNA U5 U5 spliceosomal RNA